UGCAUGCAGUGCCACCAUGGGCCUCGUGGGGACAAUGACAGGCAAGAUGACUCCUGCUGCUGUCAGAGACGGGGACACCCAGAGGAGAAUGAGACUCGAACUCACACACAAGAACAAGAAUAGGCACACCCUCCUACAGAAACAAACAAACAACAAAUAAAUGCACAAAAGAUGGAGGCUGAGGGCCAGACCCAAGCCUGAGCCUAGGCUGACCUGGCCACAUGAAGCCCCCGCUGCCCACAGUCUUGGAGACACUACAAGACCCAGGUGAUACCCGAGUCCCUGUGAUCACAGGUCCUGGUGUGACAAGGUUCUACUGAAGGGACAAGGACAAAAGAACAGAGAGAUGACCCAGCAGAGGAGUGACCACAUAAAAGCCCAUGAUGCACUGAGCACCGACUGGGCACAGGCCCCAUCCAUGUUGGGCUGCUCAGAACCUUCUCCUGUCCCCACCUGCAACAGACAGCACAGCAAACAUGCAGAUUCUGGAAGGUUCUCAGUGCUUUAUUCCUUU